rnacentral:tRNA from 1 species
GGCGCGUUGGCAGAGUGGUUAUGCUACGGACUGCAAAUCCGUCCACCUCGGUUCGACUCCGAGAUGCGCCUCCA